rnacentral:rRNA from 1 species
AUUGAACGCUGGCGGCAGGCCUAACACAUGCAAGUCGAGCGAGCGGCGGACGGGUGAGUACUGUCUGUGAAACUGCCUGCUGGAGGGGGAUAACAACUGUAAACGGUAGCUACUACCGCCUACCAUCUGAUGUGCCCCGAUGGGAUUAGCUAGUGGGUGGGGUAAAGGCUCACCUAGGCGACGAUCCCUAGCUGGUCUGAGAGGAUGACCAGCAAAACGGGAACUGAGACACGGUCCAGACGCCUAGGGGAGGAAGCAGGGGGGAAUAUUGGAAAAUGGGGGCAAGCCGGAUGCAGCAAUGCCGCGUGGGGGAUGAAGGCCUUCGGGUUGUAAAGCACUUUCAGCGGGGAGGCGUUACCCGCAGAAGAAGCACCGGCUAACUCCGUGCCAGCAGCCGCGGUAAUAC